CAGCCGCCGCGGUAAUACCGGCGGCCCGAGUGGUGGCCGCUAUUAUUGGGCCUAAAGCGUCCGUAGCCGGGCCCGUAAGUCCCUGGCGAAAUCCCACGGCUCAACCGUGGGGCUUGCUGGGGAUACUGCGGGCCUUGGGACCGGGAGAGGCGGGGGGUACCCCUGGGGGAGGGGUGAAAUCCUAUAAUCCCGGGGGGGCCGCCAGUGGCGAAGGCGCCCCGCUGGAACGGGUCCGACGGUGAGGGACGAAGGCCAGGGGAGCAAACCGGAUUAGAUACCCGGGUAGUCCUGGCUGUAAAGGAUGCGGGCUAGGUGUCGGGUGAGCUUCGGGCUCGCCCGGUGCCGUAGGGAAGCCGUUAAGCCCGCCGCCUGGGGAGUACGGCCGCAAGGCUGAAACUUAAAGGAAUUGGCGGG
rnacentral:rRNA from 1 species